UCAGUAAUGACCUGAGCCAAAUGUGUAUCUGGAAUGCUACUGUCUCAAAAGACAGGCCUGCUGGUUUUACAGUCUUGAGCCCACAUAAUACAAAACCAUGAGUGAUUACAUGAGGAAUCAGCUAUGUGACUAGCCUGCACAAAAUGACAUUCACCUCGCUCGACAAAAGUAUUUGUGAUAACAGUGACGAUGAUGAAAGACCAUGAAGACAGGCAGAGGGCUUUUUGAUGGUAUCAGAGCGCCUGUUUCUGUAUUGGCUCUUAGUGAUGAAUAAAUCUAUUGUUAUCCCAGGAAAUAUCAUCUUGCAAAUGAAGGACCAUCUUCAACCACUUAGUGGAAUCCCAUUACCGGAGAAUAUGACAUAUGGAAUUUGUUGCGUCAUUAUGAAUAAACAGUUUUUGGCUUGUAAUCUUGCUCACAUCCUCUUACACGCGCGCGCGCCCGCACACAAACACUGCGGUGAAAUGAAGCAUCUACAGUUUAAUAUGCCAGUAAAGCUGCUCUACUUUUUAGACGUGUUAAAGUUGUUUUUCUUCCGGACAAUGACCCAACACACCUCCAGGCUGUGUAAGGGCUAUUUUACCAAGGAGAGUGAUGUAGUGCUGCAUCAGAUGACCUGGCCUCCACAUUCCCCCAACCUCAACUAAAUUGAGAUGGUUUUGGAUAAGUCGGACCGCAGAGUGAAGGAAAAGCAGCCAACAAGUGCUCAGCAUAUGUGGGAACUCCUUCAAGACUGUAUGUAAAAGCAUUCCAGAUGAAGCUGGUUGAGAGAAUGCCAAGAGUGUGCAAAGCUGUCAUCAAGGCAAAUGGUGGCUAUUUGAAGAAUCACAAAUAUAAACAAUAUUUUUAUUUGUUUAACACAUUUUUGGUUAAUACAUGAUUCCAUGUGUGUUACUUCAUAGUUUUGAUGUCUUCACUAUUAUUCUACAAUGUAGAAAAUACUAAAAAUAAAGAAAUACCUUGAA